CCUACGGGUGGCAGCAGUGGGGAAUAUUGCACAAUGGGGGAAACCCUGAUGCAGCGACGCCGCGUGAGUGAAGAAGUAAUUCGUUAUGUAAAGCUCUAUUAGCAGGGAAGAAAAUGACGGUACCUGAGUAAGAAGCCUCGGCUAACUACGUGCCAGCAGCCGCGGUAAUACGUAGGGGGCAAGCGUUAUCCGGAUUUACUGGGUGUAAAGGGAGCUUAGACGGAAGUGCUAGUUUGGAGUGAAAGGCGGGGGCUCAACCCCCGGACUGCUCUGGAAACUGUAUGGCUCGAGUGCAGGAGGGGUAAGUGGAAUUCCUAGUGUAGCAGUGAAAUGCGUAGAUAUUAGGAGGAACACCAGUGGCGAAGGCGGCUUACUGGACUGUAUCUGACGUUGAGGCUCGAAAGCGUGGGGAGCAAACGGGAUUAGAUACCCGGGUAGUC
rnacentral:rRNA from 1 species